rnacentral:rRNA from 1 species
UACGGGGGGCGGAAGCGUUGUUCGGUAAUUACUGGGCGUAAAGGGCUCGUAGGCGGCCAACUAAGUCAGACGUGAAAUCCCUCGGCUUAACCGGGGAACUGCGUCUGAUACUGGAUGGCUUGAAUCCGGGAGAGGGAUGCGGAAUUCCAGGUGUAGCGGUGAAAUGCGUAGAUAUCUGGAGGAACACCGGUGGCGAAGGCGGCAUCCUGGACCGGCAUUGACGCUGAGGAGCGAAAGCCAGGGGAGCAAACGGG